GGAUGUAAGAUUCAGUAGGUGACCUGCGGAGGAUCAUUACAGAGUUCAUGCCCGAAAGGGUAGACCUCCCACCCUUGUGUAUUAUUACUUUGUUGCUUUGGCGAGCUGCCUUCGGGCCUUGUAUGCUCGCCAGAGAAUACCAAAACUCUUUUUAUUAAUGUCGUCUGAGUACUAUAUAAUAGUUAAAACUUUCAACAACGGAUCUCUUGGUUCUGGCAUCGAUGAAGAACGCAGCGAAAUGCGAUAAGUAAUGUGAAUUGCAGAAUUCAGUGAAUCAUCGAAUCUUUGAACGCACAUUGCGCCCCUUGGUAUUCCGGGGGGCAUGCCUGUUCGAGCGUCAUUUCAACCCUCAAGCUUAGCUUGGUAUUGAGUCUAUGUCAGUAAUGGCAGGCUCUAAAAUCAGUGGCGGCGCCGCUGGGUCCUGAACGUAGUAAUAUCUCUCGUUACAGGUUCUCGGUGUGCUUCUGCCAAAACCCAAAUUUUUCUAUGGUUGACCUCGGAUCAGGUAGGGAUACCCGCUGAACUUAAGCAUAUCAAUAAGUCGGAGGAAA
rnacentral:rRNA from 1 species